rnacentral:lncRNA from 1 species
ACGAACUCGUCCUCCCCUCUCUGCCUCUUCUACUCCCUCGAAAACAUUUCGUCGAACACCUUGUGGGCGUGCUUCACCUUCUUGUACGCUCCACCACCGUAACACUGAUCUUCGUUGUUCCUCCAUCCCUCGGUAAGUCCUCGCUCCUCAGGCCUCCCCUAGUUCCAUAGAAACUAGAGCCCCCCUUUAAUUUUGCCAAUUAGCAACCGUCGCCGUGCCGGUCCGGCCACCGUUUUGCCGCCGGUGAGCUCGCCGUGGACAAGCCAUCCCGGAGCUCCUCCUCUCCAUCAAGUGAGUAAAAUGGAACCCCCAUGCGCCGUAGAUGCUCAUGCUCCCAUCAAAUUGGUCAGAAACCCUCUCUUUUGACCUAGCCACUUGUAACCCGAGCUCAGCCAUGGUGGCCAUGCUGCGCCGCUCGCCCUCGCUCCGCCGCACGUCGCUGACGGUGGUGGGAGGUCGCCGGAACCUUGUCGCACCUUCCCCGGCCGCCGCCGUGCCGGCCUCGUGCCAUCCCGGCUGCGCCCAGCGCGCAUGGCGCGGCUGCCUCUGCCCGGCUGGAGGUUGAAGACGACCUCCAUUCGAGCCACUGAUAGGCCGGGCCCACCUGUGCAAUUUUGCAUUGAAAAAUAAUUCGGUAGGAAAAAGGAAUAAACUCGGGGUCCCACUUGUCAGUUGGUACAAGGCUGUGGAUAUGUCUUGUAUUAAAAAUAAAUCGUUUAUAAACAGUAGCUUUUCGCAAUUUCUCGGAUUAAUUCAAAUUUGAAUCUUUACACUAGCAUAACUUAUUCAUUUUAACUCGGAUUUGAGUGAAACUUGAACCUAAAUUCAUCUAAAUUCAUAAGCUUUCCAAUUGUAUAUAAUUCACUAUUUAAUAAAAUAUAUUUAUAAUUAUUAAUUAAUUAAUAUCAAAUGAUUAGAUAAUAGUUAACCUAAAUAGUGUGCUAAUAAAUAAAAAUGGAUAUUGUACAGUAGUAUAAUUAUCUUUAAUAUGUUUUGUCACUGUAGCAACCACAUAAAGUAGUUAUAAUAAAUCCUUCAAAUUAAUGGGUGUAUAGGAAAAUAUUAGUGCCAUUUAUUGGUCUAUGUCCAAAUAUAACUAAAUCCAUGACUUAUAAAUUAUUUACAUAAAGUUUAGCCUCAGAUUUUGUGACUAAAAUAUGAACACACGUUGAUGAGUCUUUAACUUGUUUAUGAGAGAUAAUAGCAGAGCUUGUAUGAUUAAAUCACCAAUAUGAAAUUAAUUAACGACAUUUCCUAUACACUAGUAUAUGUUUAGGUUGGAAAUCGACCCUUAAGUUGUAUAGGCAGUAACUCACUAAUAAAUCCACUUAAAAUCACAUGUACUAUGUAGCUUAAAGUAAAUAGCAGCUAUUCAAAUAAAUGAUUCAAUAUUAAGAUAUUGUUGCUUACACAUAUACUAUACAUCCCAUUAUAGCUGUACGGUAUAGUAUUAUAAUUUGCGUGUUGCAUAUAUUAAAUUAGAGGGAGUAUAUGACAAACAUGUAUAUUAGAUAAAUACUAGUUAUAAAUCUUGACCUCAUAUAAUUAUAAUUAUAGUUCAACUGUAAAUUAGGAUUGUUCAUUAAGGGAUAAUCUGUAACCAUAAUAUGAUUAACCUAAACAACUCUAACAUUCAAAGCAUGGAUAAUUAUUAUCCUUUCAUAAUUCGUUGUGACAAGAAAAAUAUGUUCAUAAUUAAAGUAAAACCUCCAUCAAUAAAAUAAUGAUACAAAUGAUUCACUGUAAUAAUUUGAUUGAUCCUAAAUCCAUCCGAUAAGAGAACCUCUAGUAUAUGACCACUUUAUUUAGAUAAAUGCAUGUGUAGCCAUAAUCCUUCCAUAGUCAUUAGCUAGACUAAACCACACAUUAGCUAGAUGUAUAUCUCAUUUAUACACUAUUGGUUAACUCCUAAAUAGACCAUGAUGACGAUAGAAAGAUUAAGAAGCCUUAGCCUCUAGCAUGAUUGGAAUCCAUUAGCAAGCGCGAGUAAUAGGAGCAACCCUAGGUUCGACCCCAACAAUUACAUUCUGUUUGUGCAUAUUUGGUUGUUGUCUGAAUAUUGGUUUUUCUCGCGUAUUAUAGAAUCUGUGUACCGGUUAGUCGUGAGGCAACGUCUGCAACAUCCAGGAGGUGAAGGUUGAUCAAGAUUAUAUCAAUAAUAAGGAUUAUCCUGAGCAGGCAAGUCAUCACUAUUCCUUGAACAUGUUGAUCCCAAUUGCGAAAUCACUUUGUUUACAAAUAAAAUUGCAUGCAAUGAUGAACAUCCCAGUUGUGAUUAUACCAUGCCUUGAUUAUUGUUUACCCUUAAAUCUUUGUAACCAUGAUUACAUAUGAGUCCCUAGUCAAUUAUGACAAUUGCUUAGAAAUGCUAUUCUAGAAUCAUGCAUACUCAUAUUUAUCAAAUGCUAUAUGCUUGGGCAAUUACCUUUGGGAAGGUAAUUGAAAUGCGGCAUGUGGAGACAUGAGCGCCACAUUGCCAUGAUAUUGAUGACAUGAUUUGUGAAAGGAAAAUAAAGUGAAACAAUUGUUUUCGACUGGGGCGGCUGGAGGAUUUGGGUGGUGUCCGGAAAAGGCUAGUGCCGUCCCUGGUCAGUUAAGGACCGAGCUAUGAAGUUAAGCAUGAAACGACCCCCGUACAACCGCACUUCUCGUAUGGGUAUAGACCUAGCGGAGUAGAUAGCUGAGCGGAGGCAUUAUCCAUGCAUAGUGGUUUCUUGAUGUGUGAGGCAGGGGCUCUACGGUGGGGCUGCCAUUGGUAGAACCGCGAGGCGGGUGUCUACAGUGGUGUCGCCAUCGGUAGGACUGCCAUGUGAGAAUUUAAACAUAAUUAUAACUUAAUGCAUGUAUGAGUCUUUCCUUCCCGGGUGCGCCAGAACUCCUCUCACUGCUAGAAACCGUGUACGCCUAGAGUGCAUGAGGAUGUAAAGUUCAUGGAGUGGGUACUGCCAAUGCGAGGUUAUCGAAAAGCUUUGUCGUGACGCGUCUCAUGUGUUGGGACGAGGCUCAUGUGUUGGGCAGUCACCGAGCAUGGGUAAAGUGUACAUCCACUACAGUGUGAGUAAACCAAAUCUAUUCAAAUAGCCGUGCUCACGGUUAUUGAGCACCGGGACGUGUAUUACACUUGGCUAGACUCUAAAUUCUUAACUUGUGUGGGAUGGGAUAUUGCAUGAUGAUUUUUAUGCUGUUGGAGCUACUUCCUGAGAGGAGGGAAGGUGGACGACCUCAGAAAACCAUGACGACUCAAUGGCGGGAAGAUAUCCUUGGGAUCACAAUGGAUGGUGGACAGAACCGUCGUUGUUUAAUGUGAACACUGGUAUUAAAAUUUGAUCAGUCUAUGCAAGGUCUUAGGCUUGUGAAAAGAUUUGCAAAACUUGCUUUGCGCAAAGGAACCUGAAGCCAUUCCUUAAAAUACCUUCUAUCAUAUGCAUCGUUGCUGUGGUAGCUUGCUGAGUACGUUUGGUACUCACCCUUGCUAUUUAUAUAUCUUUUAGGAGAGUGUUGAAGAGAAGCCCUUGUCGCUACGCUUGCGUAUCCAACAAGAUGAUCGGAGUGCGGUCUUGUUCUAGGUCUUGUUCCCCAGUCGACUGCCUGUGGCAUGUUAAUCGGGCCCUUAUAUUACUUUGUCUUCCGCUGUUGUUCUCUGAUAGUUGUUGGCCUACCUGGCCCUAAUGUAAGUAUUUAACUCUUUUAGCCUGAAUUAAUUUGUGAUAUGUUGUGAUCCAACUAUGUAUGUGUGUACCAACUACUGAUCCAGGGAUUGGUACGGAUAAACACAGAAGAUUUCCGAUUUCCAAAAUCGGGGGUCUACACUCAACUUGAGGAGUGCAAUGCCGAACUAGAUCUUGAAAAACAAAAGCUAGCCGAUCUUCCAAAUGCCAUUGAAGAACAGAAGUCCAGAUUGAGAUCGGCUAUCAAGAAUGUGGCUGACAUGACUAAAUCUCUCAAGAUCAUCCCUGGAACCGAUGCCCAAGACAUCCAAGCCAUCGAAGAAGUAGAUCAAAUCAGGCAACGAGCUUUGUCGGCUAUCCAGCGCUAUCUUUCUCAAUGACAUUUUGUGUAAUAGACUAGGAAUUUUGUAAUCGGCUAAGAAACUCUGACUCUUUAUCUAACUCAUCUUAAUAACUUUUAUGCCGAUUCAAUAUAACUCCAUAUUUCGCUCAAAAAUUUGCAAUUUUUCAUAUAUGUGCCCCCCUAAUUUUACGAUGUCAAAAGUAUUGAUAAAAUUAUAAAAACAACUAAGGGCGAUAUAACAAUAUCGGCCAUUAUGCAUCGGCAAACCACAACCGAUUACAAUAUGAAAACAACUAAGGACGAUAUAACAAUAUCGGCAAUCUCAAGGCGAUGCAAAUACAUCGGCUAUCAUGUAUCGGCAACAUCAGCCGAUCAUGCAUUAACCCAAACACUUGGGUAAUAUUUCUUCAAGUACUUGCCAUUUAGCGCUCGUCCAUAAACUUCUCCAUCGAGUCCUUGCAACAUGUAAGCUCCCUUAGACACAACCUUAUAGAUUUGGAACUGUCCUUCCCAAUUCGGCGACCACUUGCCGAAUUUGUUAUCCCGUGUCCCAAUCGGCAAAAUCAACUUCCACACAAGUUCACCUUCCGAAAAAGUCUUGGACACCACUUUCUUGUUGUAAUGCCGAGCAACUCGUUCCUUAUCCUUGGUAACCUUUGCAAGGGCUCUUAAUCUAGAUUGAACCAAGUCUUCCCUUUCAUCAGCCAUGAGAUUAUAAUAUUCAUCGGCUGUCAAAUCAUUUUGCAACUCCGUUCUCCUUGAGCCAAUUCUAACUUCCCAUGGUAAAACAACCCCAUGUCCAUAAACAAGCUUAUAAGGAGGAACUUGGAUCGAACCAUGACUAGCCAUCCGAUAAGACCACAAUGCUUCGGCCAAUCGAGUAUGCCACUGCCGAGGAUAAUCAAAAAUCUUUCUCUUAAUCAAUUUGAUCAAACUUUUGUUAGAUGCCUCGGCUUGCCCAUUAGCUUGUGCAUAAUAUUGUGAAGAAUUCAACAAUUUGAUACCCAUGCUAUCGGCAAACUGAACAAACUCAUCGGACACGAAGAUUGAAUCUUGAUCAGUUGUAAUGGUUUGAGGAAUACCAAAUCGAUAGAUUAUAUGCUCUUGAACAGAUUGUAUAGCAUCCCUAGAAUCAACCUUCUUCAAAGGAAUCGCUUCUUCCCACUUGGUAAAAUAAUCGGUUGCCACCAAUAUAAACUUAUGCCCCUUGCUCGAUGGUGGAUUAAUCAUGCCGAUCAUAUCAAUUCCCCAACCUCUAUAUGGCCAUGGUUUAAUGAUAGGAUUCAUAGCCGAUGCCGGUGCCCUCUGAAUUGCUCCAAAUUUCUGACAAUCUUGACAUCCCUUGUAAUAUUUAAAACAACCCUCCAGCAUUGUCGGCCAAAAAUACCCCGCACGUCGAAGCAACUACUUUAUCUUAUGAGCCGAUUGAUGAGUACCACAUAUUCCUUCAUGAACCUUACCGAUUGCAACCUUAGCCUGAUCGGCACUCAAACACUUAAGCAACACCACAUCAAUCGUCCGAUAAUAGAGCUCAUCAUCCAAUAAAGUAUACUUCAACGCUUUAUAUCGCAGUUUCCAAGAAGCCGAUUGAGAUGGAUUCUGUAAAUAUUGAUGUACGUCAUAUCUCCAAUCAUCGGCUGUUAAUGCAACAAUCUCAACCUUGACAUCUUUGAUCAUCGGCUUAUAUCCCGAUGCCCCUUGGGCCAAAUCAUUAGCUUCAAUAUUUUGCUCUCGAGAUACAUGCUUCAAGGUUACCAUCCGAAACUCCUUCAUCAGCUCUCGGCACUUCUCAUUAUAAAUCAUUAACGUAUAAUUUUUGCACUCAUACUCCCCUGCCAAUUGACUGAUCACUAGCAAAGAAUCUUCCAUAAUUUCGAUAGCAUCGGCUUCAACUUCCUUGAGUAACUGCAACCCUUUGAGAACUGCCUCAUACUCAGCUUGAGUGUUAGUUGCAUAAGGUUUAAUAGUAUAAGCAAACUCAAAACUUGCCCCCCGAGGAGAAAUUAUAACCAAGCCGAUACCACAACCAUGAGUGCAUACUGAUCCGUCAAAGAACAAAGUCCAUGGCACAACCUCAACCGAGCCGAUUGAAUCAUCACGAUGAACAACAAUAAAAUCGGCUAUAGCUUGCCCCUUGACUGCCUUCGGUGACUCAUACCGAAGAUCAAAUUCUGUUAAGGAAAAUAUCCACUUUUCAACCCUUCCUUUCAAAAUUGGACCAGAUAACAUGUACUUAACAACAUCGGCUUUGCAGAUGACAGUGCAUUCGUUGGACAAUAGGUAAUGCCUUAACCUUGUACAAGAAAAAUAUAAAUACAAGCAUAGUUUCUCCACAGGGGAAUAUUUGGUUUCCGCAUCCAAGAGCCGAUGACUUAGAUAGAAUACAACUCUUUCUUCCCCUCAAGCUCCUGAAUCAAGACUGAGUCGAUUGAUUUCUCACCGGCCAAUAGAUAUAAUCUAAAAGGUAUUCCCUUCUGUGGAGGAAUUAAAACCGGAGGAGAGCUAAGAUAUUCCUUAAUACUAUCCAAAGCUUUCUGUUGCUCUGUCCCCCAAGUAAACUUUUGAUCGGCUUUCAAUCUUAAUAAUGGUGUAAAAGGCUUUAACCUUCCAGACAAAUUAGAAAUAAACCUUCUAACAAAAUUUAUCCUGCCGAUCAUGUCCUGCAACUCUGUCUUAUUCUCUAGAGGCUGAAAUUUCUUGAUUGCAUUAACACUCCUUUGAGCUAUCUCAAUCCCCCUCUCAUGAACAAGAAAUCCCAAAAACUGGCCAGCUGAUACACCGAAAGCACACUUUGUCGGGUUCAUCUUUAGGCCAUAUUUCCUAGUUCUCUCAAAAACCUUCCUCAAAUCGGCUAUGUGGUCCUCUAUCUCUUUAGACUUAACAACCACAUCAUCAAUAUAAACUUCAACCAGCUAGCCGAUCAGAUCAUGAUAUAUAUAAUUCAUGGCUCUUUGAUAUGUAGCUCCAGCACUUUUCAAGCCAAAAAUCAUUACAACCCACUCAAACAAGCCGAUUGCACCAGGACACCUAAAAGCCGUCUUAUUGAUAUCCUCUUCGGCCAUGAAAAUCUGAUAGUAUCCUGCAUUUCCAUCCAUAAAACUCAAUAUCUUGUACCCUGAAGCAGCAUCAACCAGCUGAUUGGCUACUGGCAUUGGAUACUCAUCCUUUGGGGUAGCUUGUUUAAAUCCCUGAAAUCAAUGCACACCCUAACCUUGCUGUUUUUCUUGAUAACAGAAACUAUACUAGAAACCCACUCAGCAUAUCGGCAAGGACGAAUAAAACCAAUAUCAUAUAAACGUUUAAUCUCAGCCUUGAUAGGUUCGAUGUCACGACCGGAAAUAACCCAACGGGCGUUCCUUACGUGCGUGUAUUAUUCCUUGUCCCAGGAGGCAAGGUACACCAAAAGUUGAUACAAUUCAGAGUUUAACAAGCGGAAGCGUAAAUAGUUAAUUUAUUACAUGGGCAGCGAAGGCCCAGCACACACAAAGACAAACGAGAAACAGCGGAAGACUAGGGCGACGACCACAGGCGCUUGACGGCAGGCACGAGCUAGACACCAAAGCCUUCAUCCUCCAGGAACUCCUCUUCUGGGUUUGGGAAAAAAUUGAGCAAGACUGAGUACAACCACCGUACUCAACAAGACACACCCACAAGUGCAGAAUAAAUGCAAGGGAGUACAAAGGAGUUAUACUAUAAAGGGUUAGGGUUGCAGUAAACAGCAUUUAAAGACACUUGGUUGCGCAAAGCUAUUUUGUAAACACGAUUCUAGAACUAUACAAUAUUAUUUAUCAAGGCCGUGAACCCACACGAACCUGCCUUAACCCAAGGCCUACGAUGAUUCAGACCGAACUGGCAACCCGACCCUGGGUCCCAGCUCGUCCCAAGCCAACCCAGGCCAACCAUUCCACAUUUUAGUUGUUAAGCAGGUUUUAAGAAUUAAAACACUAACUUGGGUACAUUGCUCGGCUUGCCCAUAACCGAGGGCGCGGCUAUUCGAAUAGAUUAUACUCUGAUCAGAGGUGUACAUCUUUACCCACAAGACACAUCUUCCUCACGUGUAACCACGUGCCACAUACCACCAUGGUAUACGGACGGAAGACGUGACAUAGUUUCCAACCCAUCCUCGCCAUAGACAAGAGUACCGACCCAAUCCCACCUACGGCCGGAACCUCCGGGACAGGCAGGCAGGACUGAGCCCCUAGCAGCAGGACACCGGCCCUGUGCCAUGACAUCUCGACUACCGGGCCGUAGCUCGUGUAGCCUUCAUUUGUCCUAGAGAUGUCCAUCGACCCCCGACUUCUUCCAUCUCCAUCCGUGUACUUUUGUUUAUAACCAGACUGAGCCACAAACUAAGCCUUACCCACUAGACAUGUGGAAGUACGGUAGUGCUUUGCAACAGAGGCCCGAAGACCGGUCCUUAUAUGGCCGAGGUGCUACUAUCAAAACCAUGCACCCCGAGCCCAGCCUAAAACCAUUUUGGGGAUUUUGAAUAGAAGGAGCGGUGUGAAGCCAAUUCCACAAUAACCAAACCAUUCCAUAGUGUCUAGGUGAUAUGAAUAUUCCCAAAGUCUAGAGUUGAAAAACCACCUAAUGUUACCUAAUUAAAUAGCGAAGCAUCUACCUAAAAUCAUACUAGUGGUACCAUGAGAAGAGUGUCCACUAGUUGGGGUUUUGUUUAAUCUAGGGUGAACAAGGUAAUAAUAACAAUAACAAUAAUAAGGUCAUAACAAAGGUAAGUAGGCAUGGCUAGAUAAAACUGUGAUAACGCGGGAAUUUAAAUAAAGCGAUAAUGCAAUAAUUUAAAGCAACAUAAUUUUAUAAACUGGGAUUCAAUAUGCUCAAAGAUGAUGUGACUUGCCUUGCUCGCUUUCCCAAACGUCGGCUUCAACUUCCACGAAGAGCGGAUCUUCCGAAGCUGCAGCGUCUACACGACCAACGGAAAAGAAAAGGCUUUUACUCUAAUAAACUCCAUAUAACAAGCAGGAACAAAGCACAAAAAUGGGUUCUUGACUUCUUAAGGAAAAUUUAGAGACUUGAACGGUCCAAUUCCGAGUUCAAAUUCUUAACAAGCAGGAACACUGGCCUCUCCACGUAGGUCAAGUCUUCGCGAACUUCAAUUUGCUCUGAGUCGGCCUGCUCGGAUGGCACUCGAAGACAUUUCUUGAGUUGCGACACAUGGAACACAUCAUGCACGUUGCCCAAGGCGGCGGGCAGCUCCAACUGGUAAGCGACUUCUCCGCGCCGAGCAAUGAUACGGAAAGGACCCACAAACCGAGGUGCGAGCUUCCCUUUUGUCUGAAACCUGUGUACACCUCGCAAUGGCGUGACCCGAAGAUACACAAAGUCAUCCACUGCGAAUUCCAGGUCACGGCGACGGUUAUCUGCAUAACUUUUCUGCCGGGACUGUGCCACCUUUAGAUUAUCCCGAAUGGUUCUGACCUUCGCUUCAGCUUCUCUCAGGAUAUCAGUCCCGAACACUUGGCUUUCCCCAACUUGGUCCCACAAGAGCGGUGUCCGGCAUUUGCGCCCAUACAACGCUUCAUAAGGUGCCAUUUGUAUGCUGGCUUGAUAGCUGUUAUUGUAGGAGAACUCGGCAUAGGGGAGACUCUUAUCCCAGGUCUUCCCGAAAUCUAGGACACAUGCGCGAAGCAUAUCUUCUAGGAUCUGAUUUAGACGCUCGGUCUGUCCAUCGGUCUGCGGGUGAUACGCGGUGCUGAAAUUUAAUCGGGUACCCAGCUCUUCUUGGAGCUUCUUCCAAAAGUGAGAGGUGAAUUGGCUUCCCCUAUCAGAUACGAUUUUCUUGGGAACGCCAUGGAGACUCACGAUCCUAGCGAAGUAGAGCUCGGCUAGUUUGUUCCCUCCAUAGGUGGUCUUCACAGGAAUAAAUCGAGCUACCUUGGUUAAUCGAUCCACAACUACCCAUAUAGAAUCAUAUCCACCUUGGGUUUUUGGAAGUCCGGUGAUGAAAUCCAUCCCAAUUUCAUCCCAUUUCCAUUCUGGUACUUGGAGAGGUUGGAGGAGUCCGGCCGGUCGUUGGUGCUCUGCCUUGACACGCUGGCACACAUCACAAAGGGCCACGAACUCUGCAAUUUCCCGCUUCAUACUAACCCACCAGUAUUUCUCCUUCAAGUCUAAGUACAUCUUCGUACUGCCAGGGUGGAUGGAAUAAGGACUUUCGUGAGCUUCCUGAAGUAUCAGCUGUUUAAGUUCUCUGUUAUCUGGAACGCAUACCCGAUUUCCGUUCCAUAGGGUUCCGUGUUCAUCCUCUGUGAAACCAGCGGCUUUACCCUGUUUCAUAUUCUUGAGGAGUCCAUGCAUGUCCGGGUCGUUCUUCUGAGUGUCACGUCCUGAUAAAUCCAUUCCGAAUUAAAAUUCGUUUUCCUAAAAGGAAUAAUAGAAUUAAUUAAAAUUCGAAAAGAAAUUGGCAAACACUAAAAUACGUGCAAGAAAAAUUCAAAUGUGACCCGGAGAAUUUUUGUUAAAUUCUCCUUGGUCUAAAAUGAGCCCUCAAAUUUUACUUGAAUUUUCAGAGCACCGGAAAUAUUUAUUAAACAACAACAACAAUUAUCAAAGUUCAAUAAAAAGAAAAUCUAAAAAUAAUCCUCCUCUUCCUCCUUUGGGCCAAGCCCAGCCCGAAGUCCUUCUCUCCUCCCUCUCUUUCUCUCCCUCUCCUUCUCUCCCUCCUCUUGGGCCCCCUUCCCCUCCCGGCCCACUCCCUCCUCCUCCCUCUCUCUCCCGGGCUGCCUCUUUUCCCCCCCCUCCCCUCCCGGCCUGUCCGGCCCAGGCCGCCUCCCCCUCCUCCCCUCCUGGGCCGUGUCCCGGCCCAGCCGGGCCUCUCCUGCCCGAGCCGCCCCUCCCCCCCCCGCGCACGUGCGCCGCGCGUGCGCUGAGAGCGCGCCUGGCCGCGCGGGGCCCACGCGCCAGGCCGCCGUCGUCUUCUUCCUCCGCCCGGCCACCUCUCUCUCUCUUCCCGUGAAACCCUACUCCCUUCCUCCCUCAAAUCCGUGUGAUUCGCUCAUGGGAUUCCAAAAUUAAAUAGGGGAAAUUAAACCCCAUUGAAUCCUCUUCAAUUCCCCCUUAAUUCCUCCUUGAAUGGUGCCCCCAAUCGCCGGGAACGGCCGCGCCAAGUCCGGCCGCCUUCCUUUGCCGCCGGCCACCAUUCCCGUCGCCGUUCCCGCUCCUCCCGUGGCCGGCUCCCUCCCCCAUCCUAUAAAAUGGGAUCCUCAUCCCCCGUUCUCUCGUUUUAGCCCCAUCCCGAGCCUCCCCGUGGUCCCUAGCUCCCUCCCCACCGUCGCCCUCUCUCUCCCACGUCGCCGGCCGCCUCCAGCCGCCGGUGCCGCCUCGACCGUGCGCCGGCCGGCCGCGCCGUCGCCUCCUCCAGCGUCGCCGCCACCUCCUCCACCCCGGCUUGCCCUCCGUUUCGCGAGGUGACCCCCGGAGCUGCCUUCCCGCCGUCGCCCUCCUCUUUUCUCCGCGCCGGCCACCUCCAGCCGCACCUCCCGCCUCACCCGUGCACCCUCCGGCUGCGCCGUCUUCUCCCUCGGCCUCGCAGCCACCUCCUCUCCCUCGGUCAGCCCUCCGUUUCGCGGGGAAAGCACCGGAGACGCGUCCUCGCCGGCGUCCAGUGGCGUCGCCACCACUUCUCCGUCUCCGGCCGGCUGCUGUUCGUCGCCGGUGCGCCGACCGACGUCGCCGUCUCCUCCGUUGACGUCGCAGUGCCGUCCUCUCUCCCGGCCAGGCCACGGCGUCGCCCGAAUUUCGCCGGAACGCCGUCGUCUCCGCGCCGGCCUCUCCUUCCUCCUCGUCGGCUCGUCGCCCCGCUGCACCACCACCUUCACCAAUGUCGCAGCGGCGUGUUCCACGCCGUCCCCUCCUCCGCUCAGCCGCUGCUGCCUGCCAUCAUCGUUUCAUCGUCGUCUCCGAUCGUUCUCGUCGUCGACGUCCCAUCGGUCGCCCGGCUCGUCGUCUCGCGGCGCCGCCUCCGUCGUCGGCAUCGCAGCGGCGUGGUCCUCGUCGUCCUCGUCCCCGUGCAGCCGCUGCCGGCUGUCCUCGUCGCCUCCUCGCCGGUCCCGGUUGUCACGCCCAGAAAUUUAGCCCAAAUUUCCAGACUAUUUUGUGUAUUAAAUCCCUGUCCAGGACCAGCCAGGGUACACAAAACGACAAGUAAUAUACAGUUCCGAACGUAAAUAAAGCGUAAAAUACUUACAGAAGAGGCACUUAGUCCUCACACCGAAACAAAAGCAGCAGCAGCGGAAAAAGGCGAUCCUAGCGGGGCUUCAGCUCCACUCCACAGGCAAAACUCAACUGGGGUCUGAGCCUUGGUCCUCUAACUCCAUCUUCAGCUCAGAAGCACUACACUUCUGAAAAGGGGGAAUAAUAGCAAGGCUGAGUACAACCACCGUACUCAGCAAGCCACACCAACGAUGCAGACGUGCAAGGGGAACACAAGGACGGUUUGUGGCUAUUUGCAUAAAGGCGGUUGUAAAACAUUUUAUUGAGCAAAACAGUAAAACAGUUGAGUAAUUAAAGUAAUAUUGAAUCUCCACUGAUCAACGCUACGCCACGUUGAACAGGCCCAACCAACCCACCUGAACUACAGUGCAUUGGGUCGAUUUAUUAGGGGUGAGACUAAUCACGGUGAAUCUGGUCGAUCGCCCAUAACCGCGGGCACGGCUAUUCGAAUAGUUUUACUCUGGCCAGAGGUGCACAACUGUACCCACAAGACACAACCCACCGACAUGUCACCGCGUCAUCAUGUGCCCAUGAUGCACACGUCACCAUGUCGAGUGAUUGUGACGAGACCCUUCGCAUAACCCUUCCCUAACCAUCCACACCACGCUAAGGUUUCACCCCCACCCCUCAAAAGGCAGUGGGCGGUCCCCUCUUGCGCCGCGGUGAAUCCGGCAGCUGGACAACCGGACACCCCGGCCGACCCAACUCCAUCACGCCCACCCUCGCCACCGGUGCCUAGGAAAGGGUCGAGCUAUACUUCAGAUCAAGCAGUUACCCAUUCCCGCUUGUGGUAAGCACUGUAAGUCUUCCAGGGUUUCCCGUGAACCGGUCCUUAAUUGCCAUGGGUGCGACUCGCAAAACCAUGCACCCACAGCCCACCAUUCAGUCGCAUUUUAGUUGGAUAAUUACGACCAUGAAACAUGGCCAGAUGUCUCGAGCACGCGGCUCAACAAGAAACUAGAAUGUCUAAUACUGCAAUUAUCCCAUCGACUGAGCUAGUGGUAAUUAAGCAUGGCUAAGCAUAAAGUUCUAGCUAGGUCAUCAAAGUAACACAAGCUAGGCGAUUUAUUACCCACGGCUGACAAAGGACAGAUAUCAAGUAAACAUGGCACAAGCGAGCAGAUAGGUAAACCCUGAUCCCGUGUAAUUAGCAAAACAUGCAUAUUUAUUUGCAAACGGUAAAACAUUUAUAAAUUGGGAUCAACAUGCUCAAGGAGAAUGUGUGACUUGCCUUGCUUCUUCACUUUGAUCUUCCGAACUCUUUUCCUCGCGACCGCGGACUUCCGAAACGACGGGAACUACACGCUGGCACGCAAAACGAGGAAAAACUCUAAUAAAAACCAAGGAAACAGUACAUAAAAACUAAACAAACAUGUAGAGCUCAAUUUUAGAUGAAUUUUGCAAGUUGAAUGGCUCAAUUCGGAGUUCGAAUGAAUUAGAUAUGAAUUUUAGAAGUUUUGAGCCAUUUAAAUGGAUUUAUAUAAUUAAACUCGAUUUAUUGCGCAAUUAUUAUUUAUUUUUACAAAGGAAAUGGACCUCGCUGACGUCAUCAAAGGGGAGGGGCGGCGCCGGCAAGCGGGCCCCACCGGUCAGCGGCACAAGGGCGCCGGUCCACCGUGGACCGGGACCACCGAGGCGAUCCACCGCCGGUCCACGGGAACCGACGGCCCGGAUCGGCCCAAAGCCGAUCGGACGGCCACGAGGCGGCGCGGCUGGGGCACGGGCACGGCAUGAAACCGGCUCGGCCGAGCCGUGGUGCUGGGCAGCGUGCGGCCUCCGGAGGCAGCAGCCGGCGGCGCCGAACGGCGGCGAGCAGCCGGAAGACGGCGGCGCUCACGGGCAGUGGCGAUGCACGCGAAAGGGAAGGGGAGCGGGAGGAGGGGCUCACCGAGCGUGCGGGCCGACGAGGCAGAGCGGGAGGUCGCCGGCGGCGGGAAGAGGCGGCGGCGCUCCUCGGGGAGGCAACGGCGACGGCGGUUCGGCGGCGUUCCGUGAGGAGGAACCGGCGGCCGAUGGUCGGAGGGACCUAGGGAAGGAAAUGAAGAGGUUAGGAGAGGGUAGGGAGUUGCGGUGCGGCGGGAAACGCCGACCGAAAUGACGACGGAGCUCACCGGGAGGCACGGGGAGAUGAGUCCGGCGACGACCGGCGAACACGGAGGGAUUGCUGAGCCACGGAUGAUGGCUGCGGUACCGCGGAGGGCGACGGCACAACACUGGGCGGACUGAAGAGGCGGUGCGGCGCGGCCGGAGGCGGAAAUGGCGACGGUGGCUCUGGAUGCACGGUGGAAGGGUGGUUGCGGUGGUGGAAUGGGGAAACGGAGCGGAGGCCGGGGUAGAGCUUGGCACGGCGUUGCCGACGGCGCAAGCGGCGAGGUGCGGCGACGACUAACGCGGCGGCAGCGGCCGGCUGAAGGCGGUGUGUGGCGGUAGUGGCUCGGCCUCGCGAUGGGAAGGUGGUUCCGGCGGUGGAGGAGGGAGAUGGAGUGGAUGCCGGGGUGCGGCGAGGCGCUGUGAUGCUAUAGGUGGCGGCGGCGCAGCGCGGCAGCGACGGGAGCGGCGGUGGCGGGCGGCUGGAGAUCGCCGGCGAGCGGCGGCGAAGGGGAUCGGCGUGGAGAGCUCGGUAGAGGGCGUGGGGGACUCGGGAAAACGGGGAAAAAGGAAGAGGAGUCCACGGGGAUUGAUUUUAUAGCUCAAGGGGGCGAGGAGAGGGCCGGGGAGCGGCGGAUUUCGAGGGGAAGUGGGGCGGCGAAGUGGAGCUCGUGGGGAGGUCAAACCGGCGCCGUUUCUUGCGGGGUGAGUGGGGGAAAAGGUGGAGGACGUGGAGGGGGUCGUGUCCAUGUGGUUGGAUGCGAGCUCGGGUGCGGGAGGUCGCCGGAUUUUGCGGCGACGUGGGGCGGCUCAGGCGGCCAUGGCGGUUGCAGCCGGCCAGCCAGAGGAAGGAGGAGGAGCUGACGGGUGGGACCGCCGGUCCCACCUGUCGGCGAAGGGAGAGAAGGAGGGACGCAAAACAGACUUUUGCAAGCGGGCCAAGGAAGAAGGGAGCCGGCCCGAGAGAGGGAGGAGGCGCGCGGGCCGCGGGAGAGGAAGGAGGGGGAGGAAUUUGGGCCGAGCCCGAAAGGGAGGAAGGGGAAGUUUAUUUUGUUUUCUUUUUAUUUAAAUUGAUUCAAUGAUCUUUGUGCUAUUAAAACUAUUUCUCGAGCUCCGAAAAUUCACGGAAAAUUCCGGAGAGUACAUUAGGGCACAAAGAAUAUUACAAAAUAUUCCCGGCCAUUGAUUUUUAAGGGAAAAUUUCAAGUUCUCCCAUUAUUUCACUUGAUUAAAUUGAUUUAUCUUUUAUUUAAUUUCUAGAAAAUGUAUUAUUAAUGAUUUUUAAUCCCGAACGAAAAUCGGGGCGUUACAAAUCUACCCCCCUUACAGGAAUCUCGUCCCGAGAUUCUGGGAUGGCUAGAAAGAAAGCUGGUGCUGGUGGGCGGUUUGACUGAUCUGCACAUUGAACUGCCACAUUCUGCUUCGAACUGAUUGAUUGACUGGUUGAUCAAACCUGCACGAUUGAACUGGCUGGAUUCGACCUUUCUGUUCCUUUGCUUUGCGAAAACUGGACCGACUGGUUCUGCAUGAACUGACCUAGACUAGAACUGUGGCUGCUCACGAAACUUACUUAUCUUGAUCUGAACUGUUGAUACUGGCAGUUUGAUAACCUGACAAUUCACCAGGCUGGCUAGAGAAGGGUGAAGUUGUUCCUAAGACUUGCAUCUGGCAUUUGUAACUCAUUGAUCCUACGUCCGCUUGAACGGGUCCUGGCUCGAAUGACACGUAAUUCCAGGAAACCUGCUUGACCUGUCUUUUGUCUGAACUGCAACCGUCCCUGAUGCUGCCUCUCAAAUCUAAGCUAUUGACCUGGCCUCACCGGUGUACCUCAGAAUUCAAUCAGAUUUCUUGAGAUCGGUGUAACUCUGCUGACACCUUGCAACUGGCUUCUUCAAGUACUACCCGGAUUGUUGCACUGGGUUGAACCUUCAACUAAAACAGCGAUGAGGUGAGCCAAAACUCAUCUCCGAGACCUACCCCCCUUACAGUGGGUAGUCUUACUUUCUCCUGACUGAGAACCUUUGAACUGUUGUCCUUGAAAAAUAACCAACACUUCUCUGAUUUGCCAAGAGCCCUGACUUUGAAAACUGAAAACUUCAUCGGUCCAUCAAAUUGAAGCAAUGGCGAUGCACUUUCACCCCGACAAGAUUUGGAACUUAACCCUUAGUUGAUGAUAGGAAAUUCCACAUAAAAGUGACUCUCAUUUAGCUCAUGAACACACUGACUCUUGACUAACUUUCCCAUAAGUUCUAACUACUGGCAUGACUGUCCUGCUUCUAUCUUGACUUCGGUGUCGAGUUUCAAAAACUGAACUAACCGACUCUGCAUUGGAACUGACACAACUCGAGGAGUUGGGGUGUCGCUAACAAAGCUCUUGAUGUGAUGACGCUGACGCCUUACUGUGGAACAACCCUCUGAGAGGUGCCCUGUCAUACAUCUUCCAUGGAUAGUUGGACACUUUGCAAAAACUGCGCUUGAAAACCAUAACCACAAUAGGUAGCAUAUAUUACUCCUGGGAUUGGUGGUGGCUUAGCUGUGCUGAUUUGCUGAGGACUUGGUGGCGUACUAUCUGAGGUUGCGGGUGCUUCCUCUUUGAAAACAAACUGACUAUCGCUCUGAUCCUGAUUCCGGCUUGCAUCUGAGCUUGUACUUGUUGUUGGAGACACUGUUGUUGCAUCUGUUGCAUCGGACUUUGCAUCUCCCGCAUCAAUACAUCCAUCAUCUAAUCUUGGACACCAAAUGUUGAUCACGAGCAGGGUUCUUCUGGCACUGGGAUACCUUGUAGCUUUCAACUGAACCAUUGAUUGGUGACUUUAAUACACCGUCGUUGCUCUUCUCUCUAACACUGACUAUCUUCUGCCAGGGCGGAAGAGAGGAGGAAGAGAGGGGUUGCUAAAGAUAAGGUACUAAGCCACUUGCCUACUGAUCUGUUGUGAGUAGAUUUUUAUUUUUCAAGUUGCUUAAGCAAACAACCUAGUAUGGUCGCAUCCCCACCAAUGAUGCAAACCAUACCCCUACACACAAGCAAACAACACACGAUCUAGAAGCUAACGAAACUACUCUUCAGGGAAGGAUUGGGUUUAGGUCAUCUCCGGGAAAACUCCACUUGAUCUUCGCGGAACGACGACUCCGGGCUGAACUUCUUGCUCCUACUGCACGAAGCUUGAGGCUUGAAUUGACUUCCGAACAGACAUGAAGCUGGCGGUUUCUCCUCCAUGUUUGACAACUAAAAGAGUUGGAGGGACAGGGAGGAAAAAUUUUAAUAAACUGUUUCGCAAAGAAAUGCCGAAGGGCGAGAGGAGACACUUCGCAAAUAGGAUUUUCAGAAAACUUGUCCUUACGGUUUGACCAUUUGGCUCAACCUACAGUCAAGUUGGCUCUGAUACCACUUUGUCACGCCCAGAAAUUUAGCCCAAAUUUCCAGACUAUUUUGUGUAUUAAAUCCCUGUCCAGGACCAGCCAGGGUACACAAAACGACAAGUAAUAUACAGUUCCGAACGUAAAUAAAGCGUAAAAUACUUACAGAAGAGGCACUUAGUCCUCACACCGAAACAAAAGCAGCAGCAGCGGAAAAAGGCGAUCCUAGCGGGGCUUCAGCUCCACUCCACAGGCAAAACUCAACUGGGGUCUGAGCCUUGGUCCUCUAACUCCAUCUUCAGCUCAGAAGCACUACACUUCUGAAAAGGGGGAAUAAUAGCAAGGCUGAGUACAACCACCGUACUCAGCAAGCCACACCAACGAUGCAGACGUGCAAGGGGAACACAAGGACGGUUUGUGGCUAUUUGCAUAAAGGCGGUUGUAAAACAUUUUAUUGAGCAAAACAGUAAAACAGUUGAGUAAUUAAAGUAAUAUUGAAUCUCCACUGAUCAACGCUACGCCACGUUGAACAGGCCCAACCAACCCACCUGAACUACAGUGCAUUGGGUCGAUUUAUUAGGGGUGAGACUAAUCACGGUGAAUCUGGUCGAUCGCCCAUAACCGCGGGCACGGCUAUUCGAAUAGUUUUACUCUGGCCAGAGGUGCACAACUGUACCCACAAGACACAACCCACCGACAUGUCACCGCGUCAUCAUGUGCCCAUGAUGCACACGUCACCAUGUCGAGUGAUUGUGACGAGACCCUUCGCAUAACCCUUCCCUAACCAUCCACACCACGCUAAGGUUUCACCCCCACCCCUCAAAAGGCAGUGGGCGGUCCCCUCUUGCGCCGCGGUGAAUCCGGCAGCUGGACAACCGGACACCCCGGCCGACCCAACUCCAUCACGCCCACCCUCGCCACCGGUGCCUAGGAAAGGGUCGAGCUAUACUUCAGAUCAAGCAGUUACCCAUUCCCGCUUGUGGUAAGCACUGUAAGUCUUCCAGGGUUUCCCGUGAACCGGUCCUUAAUUGCCAUGGGUGCGACUCGCAAAACCAUGCACCCACAGCCCACCAUUCAGUCGCAUUUUAGUUGGAUAAUUACGACCAUGAAACAUGGCCAGAUGUCUCGAGCACGCGGCUCAACAAGAAACUAGAAUGUCUAAUACUGCAAUUAUCCCAUCGACUGAGCUAGUGGUAAUUAAGCAUGGCUAAGCAUAAAGUUCUAGCUAGGUCAUCAAAGUAACACAAGCUAGGCGAUUUAUUACCCACGGCUGACAAAGGACAGAUAUCAAGUAAACAUGGCACAAGCGAGCAGAUAGGUAAACCCUGAUCCCGUGUAAUUAGCAAAACAUGCAUAUUUAUUUGCAAACGGUAAAACAUUUAUAAAUUGGGAUCAACAUGCUCAAGGAGAAUGUGUGACUUGCCUUGCUUCUUCACUUUGAUCUUCCGAACUCUUUUCCUCGCGACCGCGGACUUCCGAAACGACGGGAACUACACGCUGGCACGCAAAACGAGGAAAAACUCUAAUAAAAACCAAGGAAACAGUACAUAAAAACUAAACAAACAUGUAGAGCUCAAUUUUAGAUGAAUUUUGCAAGUUGAAUGGCUCAAUUCGGAGUUCGAAUGAAUUAGAUAUGAAUUUUAGAAGUUUUGAGCCAUUUAAAUGGAUUUCUAUAAUUAAACUCGAUUUAUUGCGCAAUUAUUAUUUAUUUUUACAAAGGAAAUGGACCUCGCUGACGUCAUCAAAGGGGAGGGGCGGCGCCGGCAAGCGGGCCCCACCGGUCAGCGGCACAAGGGCGCCGGUCCACCGUGGACCGGGACCACCGAGGCGAUCCACCGCCGGUCCACGGGAACCGACGGCCCGGAUCGGCCCAAAGCCGAUCGGACGGCCACGAGGCGGCGCGGCUGGGGCACGGGCACGACAUGAAACCGGCUCGGCCGAGCCGUGGUGCUGGGCAGCGUGCGGCCUCCGGAGGCAGCAGCCGGCGGCGCCGAACGGCGGCGAGCAGCCGGAAGACGGCGGCGCUCACGGGCAGUGGCGAUGCACGCGAAAGGGAAGGGGAGCGGGAGGAGGGGCUCACCGAGCGUGCGGGCCGACGAGGCAGAGCGGGAGGUCGCCGGCGGCGGGAAGAGGCGGCGGCGCUCCUCGGGGAGGCAACGGCGACGGCGGUUCGGCGGCGUUCCGUGAGGAGGAACCGGCGGCCAAUGGUCGGAGGGACCUAGGGAAGGAAAUGAAGAGGUUAGGAGAGGGUAGGGAGUUGCGGUGCGGCGGGAAACGCCGACCGAAAUGACGACGGAGCUCACCGGGAGGCACGGGGAGAUGAGUCCGGCGACGACCGGCGAACACGGAGGGAUUGCUGAGCCACGGAUGAUGGCUGCGGUACCGCGGAGGGCGACGGCACAACACUGGGCGGACUGAAGAGGCGGUGCGGCGCGGCCGGAGGCGGAAAUGGCGACGGUGGCUCUGGAUGCACGGUGGAAGGGUGGUUGCGGUGGUGGAAUGGGGAAACGGAGCGGAGGCCGGGGUAGAGCUUGGCACGGCGUUGCCGACGGCGCAAGCGGCGAGGUGCGGCGACGACUAACGCGGCGGCAGCGGCCGGCUGAAGGCGGUGUGUGGCGGUAGUGGCUCGGCCUCGCGAUGGGAAGGUGGUUCCGGCGGUGGAGGAGGGAGAUGGAGUGGAUGCCGGGGUGCGGCGAGGCGCUGUGAUGCUAUAGGUGGCGGCGGCGCAGCGCGGCAGCGACGGGAGCGGCGGUGGCGGGCGGCUGGAGAUCGCCGGCGAGCGGCGGCGAAGGGGAUCGGCGUGGAGAGCUCGGUAGAGGGCGUGGGGGACUCGGGAAAACGGGGAAAAAGGAAGAGGAGUCCACGGGGAUUGAUUUUAUAGCUCAAGGGGGCGAGGAGAGGGCCGGGGAGCGGCGGAUUUCGAGGGGAAGUGGGGCGGCGAAGUGGAGCUCGUGGGGAGGUCAAACCGGCGCCGUUUCUUGCGGGGUGAGUGGGGGAAAAGGUGGAGGACGUGGAGGGGGUCGUGUCCAUGUGGUUGGAUGCGAGCUCGGGUGCGGGAGGUCGCCGGAUUUUGCGGCGACGUGGGGCGGCUCAGGCGGCCAUGGCGGUUGCAGCCGGCCAGCCAGAGGAAGGAGGAGGAGCUGACGGGUGGGACCGCCGGUCCCACCUGUCGGCGAAGGGAGAGAAGGAGGGACGCAAAACAGACUUUUGCAAGCGGGCCAAGGAAGAAGGGAGCCGGCCCGAGAGAGGGAGGAGGCGCGCGGGCCGCGGGAGAGGAAGGAGGGGGAGGAAUUUGGGCCGAGCCCGAAAGGGAGGAAGGGGAAGUUUAUUUUGUUUUCUUUUUAUUUAAAUUGAUGCAAUGAUCUUUGUGCUAUUAAAACUAUUUCUCGAGCUCCGAAAAUUCACGGAAAAUUCCGGAGAGUACAUUAGGGCACAAAGAAUAUUACAAAAUAUUCCCGGCCAUUGAUUUUUAAGGGAAAAUUUCAAGUUCUCCCAUUAUUUCACUUGAUUAAAUUGAUUUAUCUUUUAUUUAAUUUCUAGAAAAUGUAUUAUUAAUGAUUUUUAAUCCCGAACGAAAAUCGGGGCGUUACACCGGUCGUCGUCGUCGUCGUCGUCCUCUCGUCGUUCCCGGUCGUCGUGGCGUUCGUCCCUCCGUCGAGCCGUUCUCGUCCGUCGUCCGCGUUCGUCAAGCGAGCCGCUGCAGCCCCGUCCUCGCCUCCGUCCUCGGCUCCGCGUCGUCAAGCCUCGUGCCGGCCGCGUCUCGCCUUUGUCCAAGGAUCGCCGCCGAAGCCGUCCCCUCGCCGUUCGUCUCCGUUGUGCCCGUCUGUCUCCGCCGCGCCCGUUCGUCGUUGGCGUUCCCACGCCUCGUCGCGUGGUGGUAAGGAUCCGUCCUCUCGCUUCCCCGCCCUCGUCCUUUCGGUGUCGCCCCGUACCCGUUGUGCGGUUGUCGACACCGGUACCCGUGUGCCGGUGUCGGUAGUCGUUCGCUUGUGCGUGUGGUGUCCGUGUUAGUGUGCCCGCUCGGUAGCCGCGUGGUUUCUACGUGUGCAUCCCGUGUGGUGUCUAGUGGAGUCCGUUUGUUGGCCACUCGCCUCGGUUGACACACGGGGUCCGCUUCCGUCGACCCGUGGACCGUCUCUGUGUACCCGGUCUACCGCGGUCCUUUAGGUUGACAUGUGGGGUCCGCAUGUCAACGGCGCAGCCUUCCUGUCUUUUCCAGGCUAGCGCUUACACAUGUUUUAUAGUUGCAAAGCUUAAUUAUAAUAAUCCGCAAAUCUCCAUAUAACAGCAUUAAACUUCGGAUGAUCAUAUCUUGGUCAUACGAACUCUGAAUCGACCCGUUCAAGUCUCCUAAUGUUUGUUAUAACCUAAAGAACCCUGUGCUUUCUUUUUAUGUAUUGUUAUUGCUUCUUUAUAGGUUUGUAGCUUUGCU